rnacentral:rRNA from 1 species
UUAAGCGACUAAGCGUACACGGUGGAUGCCCUGGCAGUCAGAGGCGAUGAAGGGCGUGCUAAUCUGCGAUAAGCGCCGGUAAGGUGAUAUGAACCGUUAUAACCGGCGAUACCCGAAUGGGGAAACCCAGUGUGAUUCGUCACACUAUCAUUAACUGAAUCCAUAGGUUAAUGAGGCGAACCGGGGGAACUGAAACAUCUAAGUACCCCGAGGAAAAGAAAUCAACCGAGAUUCCCCCAGUAGCGGCGAGCGAACGGGGAGGAGCCCAGAGCCUGAAUCAGCAUAUGUGUUAGUGGAAGCGUCUGGAAAGGCGCGCGAUACAGGGUGACAGCCCCGUACACAAAAGCGCAUGUGCUGUGAGCUCGAUGAGUAGGGCGGGACACGUGGUAUCCUGUCUGAAUAUGGGGGGACCAUCCUCCAAGGCUAAAUACUCCUGACUGACCGAUAGUGAACCAGUACCGUGAGGGAAAGGCGAAAAGAACCCCGGCGAGGGGAGUGAAAAAGAACCUGAAACCGUGUACGUACAAGCAGUGGGAGCCCCACCACUAAGCCAGUGGUGAACUCCACAUACGCAUCCUUUGCUGAGGAUACGGUUAACGGAGCGCAAGCGACGUUCAACCGCAAAAGAAGCAGAGGGGGCUUAGUGGUGGGGUGACUGCGUACCUUUUGUAUAAUGGGUCAGCGACUUAUAUUCUGUAGCAAGGUUAACCGAAUAGGGGAGCCGGAGGGAAACCGAGUCUUAAUUGGGCGUUAAGUUGCAGGGUAUAGACCCGAAACCCGGUGAUCUAGCCAUGGGCAGGUUGAAGGUUGGGUAACACUAACUGGAGGACCGAACCGACUAAUGUUGAAAAAUUAGCGGAUGACCUGUGGCUGGGGGUGAAAGGCCAAUCAAACCGGGAGAUAGCUGGUUCUCCCCGAAAGCUAUUUAGGUAGCGCCUCGUGAAUUCAUCUCCGGGGGUAGAGCACUGUUUCGGCUAGGGGGCCAUCCCGGCUUACCAACCCGAUGCAAACUGCGAAUACCGGAGAAUGUUAUCACGGGAGACACACGGCGGGUGCUAACGUCCGUCGUGAAGAGGGAAACAACCCAGACCGCCAGCUAAGGUCCCAAAGUCAUGGUUAAGUGGGAAACGAUGUGGGAAGGCCCAGACAGCCAGGAUGUUGGCUUAGAAGCAGCCAUCAUUUAAAGAAAGCGUAAUAGCUCACUGGUCGAGUCGGCCUGCGCGGAAGAUGUAACGGGGCUAAACCAUGCACCGAAGCUGCGGCAGCGACACUAUGUGUUGUUGGGUAGGGGAGCGUUCUGUAAGCCUGCGAAGGUGACCUGUGAGGGUUGCUGGAGGUAUCAGAAGUGCGAAUGCUGACAUAAGUAACGAUAAAGCGGGUGAAAAGCCCGCUCGCCGGAAGACCAAGGGUUCCUGUCCAACGUUAAUCGGGGCAGGGUGAGUCGACCCCUAAGGCGAGGCCGAAAGGCGUAGUCGAUGGGAAACGGGUUAAUAUUCCCGUACUUGGUGUUACUGCGAAGGGGGGACGGAGAAGGCUAUGUUGGCCGGGCGACGGUUGUCCCGGUUUAAGCGUGUAGGUGUGUGUUCCAGGUAAAUCCGGUUCACUUUAACACUGAGGCGUGAUGACGAGGCACUACGGUGCUGAAGCAACAAAUGCCCUGCUUCCAGGAAAAGCCUCUAAGCAUCAGGUAACAUCAAAUCGUACCCCAAACCGACACAGGUGGUCAGGUAGAGAAUACCAAGGCGCUUGAGAGAACUCGGGUGAAGGAACUAGGCAAAAUGGUGCCGUAACUUCGGGAGAAGGCACGCUGACAUGUAGGUGAAGUGAUUUACUCAUGGAGCUGAAGUCAGUCGAAGAUACCAGCUGGCUGCAACUGUUUAUUAAAAACACAGCACUGUGCAAACACGAAAGUGGACGUAUACGGUGUGACGCCUGCCCGGUGCCGGAAGGUUAAUUGAUGGGGUCAGCGCAAGCGAAGCUCCUGAUCGAAGCCCCGGUAAACGGCGGCCGUAACUAUAACGGUCCUAAGGUAGCGAAAUUCCUUGUCGGGUAAGUUCCGACCUGCACGAAUGGCGUAAUGAUGGCCAGGCUGUCUCCACCCGAGACUCAGUGAAAUUGAACUCGCUGUGAAGAUGCAGUGUACCCGCGGCAAGACGGAAAGACCCCGUGAACCUUUACUAUAGCUUGACACUGAACAUUGAGCCUUGAUGUGUAGGAUAGGUGGGAGGCUUUGAAGUGUGGACGCCAGUCUGCAUGGAGCCGGCCUUGAAAUACCACCCUUUAAUGUUUGAUGUUCUAACGUGGACCCGUGAUCCGGGUUGCGGACAGUGUCUGGUGGGUAGUUUGACUGGGGCGGUCUCCUCCUAAAGAGUAACGGAGGAGCACGAAGGUUGGCUAAUCCUGGUCGGACAUCAGGAGGUUAGUGCAAUGGCAUAAGCCAGCUUGACUGCGAGCGUGACGGCGCGAGCAGGUGCGAAAGCAGGUCAUAGUGAUCCGGUGGUUCUGAAUGGAAGGGCCAUCGCUCAACGGAUAAAAGGUACUCCGGGGAUAACAGGCUGAUACCGCCCAAGAGUUCAUAUCGACGGCGGUGUUUGGCACCUCGAUGUCGGCUCAUCACAUCCUGGGGCUGAAGUAGGUCCCAAGGGUAUGGCUGUUCGCCAUUUAAAGUGGUACGCGAGCUGGGUUUAGAACGUCGUGAGACAGUUCGGUCCCUAUCUGCCGUGGGCGCUGGAGAACUGAGGGGGGCUGCUCCUAGUACGAGAGGACCGGAGUGGACGCAUCACUGGUGUUCGGGUUGUCAUGCCAAUGGCACUGCCCGGUAGCUAAAUGCGGAAGAGAUAAGUGCUGAAAGCAUCUAAGCACGAAACUUGCCCCGAGAUGAGUUCUCCCUGAGACUUAGAGUCUCCUGAAGGAACGUUGAAGACGACGACGUUGAUAGGCCGGGUGUGUAAGCGCAGCGAUGCGUUGAGCUAACCGGUACUAAUGAACCGUGAGGCUUAACCUU